GGAGGAUCCAAGCGUUAUCCGGAAUCAUUGGGUUUAAAGGGUCCGUAGGCGGUUUGGUAAGUCAGUGGUGAAAGCCCAUCGCUCAACGGUGGAACGGCCAUUGAUACUGCUAGACUUGAAUUAUUAGGAAGUAACUAGAAUAUGUAGUGUAGCGGUGAAAUGCUUAGAGAUUACAUGGAAUACCAAUUGCGAAGGCAGGUUACUACUAAUGGAUUGACGCUGAUGGACGAAAGCGUGGGUAGCGAACAGGAUUAGAUACCCUGGUAGUCCACGCCGUAAACGAUGGAUACUAGCUGUUGGGAGCAAUCUCAGUGGCUAAGCGAAAGUGAUAAGUAUCCCACCUGGGGAGUACGUUCGCAAGAAUG
rnacentral:rRNA from 1 species